rnacentral:tRNA from 1 species
GCAGUGGUGGUUCAGUUGAUAGAAUUCUUGCCUGCCAUGCAGGAGGCGUGGGUUCGAUUCCCAGCUAAAGUA